UUUCUAAGUAUGUAGGCUGGUUACUGUAGAUGACGAGCACCUGCAGUUGGUGGUUUUGCUAUAGCUGGGAGACAGUGUGUAGUAACAGGGAACAGUACUUCGGGGAUGGCACCAGACUAACUGUUUUAGAGCAUAAAAUUUCUGAACCGAAUCUUCACAUCCUCGAGCCAUCGAAGGAAGAGACUGUGAAGAAGAAGAGGGUGACCCUGGUGUGUCUGGCCACUGAUUUCUACCCGGACCACAUUCAUAUCACCUGGAAGAUCAAUGGCAAGGACAGAGAGAACGGGGUUAAAACAGACGAUUAUGCAACCAAGGACAAAGAAAAGAAAACAUACAGCAUCAGUAGCCGACUAAGACUGACUCCGAGAGAAUGGUUUAACCCUGAGAACACCUUCACCUGCUCUGCGGUGUUCUACAAAGGAAACGGUUCCGAAACUGUAACUCAUGAAAAACACAUUUCUGGAAAGGAAGGUUGCGGUGUCACUACUGACUCCAUGAGCAAGGACUUGGGAGCAGCCCGGUUGACCUUCCUCCUCACUGUGUAUAAGAGUGUCCUGUACGGUCUGCUAGUGAUGGCGCUGGUGUGGAAGCUGAAGGAGGAGUCUGUGUGAAAACCAGAGAAAUACCAGCUGCCUGCAGACUCAAGUAUACAGCUGUGUGCACAUAUCUUACUGUGCAAUUUAUAAAGUGUGAAUUCCACACUGUUGCAUUGUGUGUGCGUGCGUGUGUGGAGAAGAGGGGAUGAGGGAGGGGGGUAUAUAGAAAUAUAUAGCAGCAUUUCUGCAAUUUAAUAUUUUGGACACAAUCAGUUUUAAUGCUGUAUAAUGAAGUAAAACUGCACAAUUAUACUGUAAUUUUUUAGUACUGCUGCAAAUAAACAAUCUUUUUUGUAUUUACAGUAUAUGUCUUUUUCCCUAUGCUUCUAUUCUCCCUGUGUAAUUAAUAAACUGUGUA